rnacentral:rRNA from 1 species
UGGGGAAUAUUGCACAAUGGAGGGAACUCUGAUGCAGCGACGCCGCGUGAACGAAGAAGGCUUUCGAGUCGUAAAGUUCUUUUAUAUGGGAAGAUAAUGACGGUACCAUAAGAAAAAGCCCCGGCUAACUACGUGCCAGCAGCCGCGGUAAUACGUAGGGGGCUAGCGUUGUCCGGAAUCACUGGGCGUAAAGGGUUCGCAGGCGGAAAUGCAAGUCAGGUGUAAAAGGCAGUAGCUUAACUACUGUAAGCAUUUGAAACUGCAUAUCUUGAGAAGAGUAGAGGUAAGUGGAAUUUUUAGUGUAGCGGUGAAAUGCGUAGAUAUUAAAAAGAAUACCGGUGGCGAAGGCGACUGACUGGGCUCAUUCUGACGCUGAGGAACGAAAGCGUGGGUAGCAAACAGG